GUGAAUCAUCGAAUCUUUGAACGCACAUUGCGCCCCUUGGUAUUCCGAGGGGCAUGCCUGUUCGAGCGUCAUUACAACCCUCAAGCACAGCUUGGUAUUGGGCUCCGCUGGUUCCAGCGGGCCUUAAACUCAGUGGCGGCGCCCUCAGGCUCUGAGCGUAGUAAACAUUCCUCGCUACGGAGUCCUGGGCGGCGGUGGCCAUCGACCCCCAACUUUCUAAGUUUGACCUCGGAUCAGGUAGGGAUACCCGCUGAACUUAAGCAUAUCAAUAAGCGGAGGA
rnacentral:misc_RNA from 1 species